rnacentral:ribozyme from 11 species
UAAAUUAGAAAUUAAGUCAAUUUUUUUUUCUUUUCCUUUUUUCACUUUCUUUUUGUGCACCUUAAUUCUAUAAUCGGUUUGUUUCGACUUUUCGACUUUUCGAAAAAAAAGAAAGAAUAAACCUUUGGUUCGGUAAUAAACUAAGAAUCAAAUACAAAACUAUCUCAAACAAAACGUUUUAUUCGACUUAAGUCGAUAUACGGAAAGGAAGAGAAAAA